UCCCUGCUCGACUAAAUUUUGUAUGCUUUUGAUAUCUUUUAUUAUGUACGAACCAUUUCUACAAUGUAAAGCACAAAAAGGAAUUUGUGACUCUUAUAGACAGACAAUAACCUGUUGUGACGGAUAUAAGUGGAAUGAAGCGAGGAAAGCAUGUAUAGAAUGUAGUCCAGGAUAUUACAGGACAAACUGUACAGAAAAGUGUCCUUAUCCAGCGUACGCUAAAGCAUGUCUUCAGAAAUGUGAAUGCGACAGAUCUUCUUGUAGUUUUAUUAAUGGGUGUUCAG